rnacentral:rRNA from 1 species
GAUGAACGCUGGCGGCGUGCCUAAUACAUGCAAGUCGAGCGAACAGACGAGGAGCUUGCUCCUCUGACGUUAGCGGCGGACGGGUGAGUAACACGUGGAUAACCUACCUAUAAGACUGGGAUAACUUCGGGAAACCGGAGCUAAUACCGGAUAAUAUAUUGAACCGCAUGGUUCAAUAGUGAAAGACGGUUUUGCUGUCACUUAUAGAUGGAUCCGCGCCGCAUUAGCUAGUUGGUAAGGUAACGGCUUACCAAGGCAACGAUGCGUAGCCGACCUGAGAGGGUGAUCGGCCACACUGGAACUGGGACACGGUCCAUACUCCUACGGGAGGCAGCAGUAGGGAAUCUUCCGCAAUGGGCGAAAGCCUGACGGAGCAACGCCGCGUGAGUGAUGAAGGUCUUCGGAUCGUAAAACUCUGUUAUUAGUGAAGAACAAAUGUGUAAUUAACUAUGCACGUCUUGACGGUACCUAAUCAGAAAGCCACGGCUAACUACGUG